CUUAAUUAGUGUCCCAAAUAUUGUCUUAAUGAUUCCCUCUCCACUUAUGUAGACAAACACUGAACCAAAGAUCAAAAGGACUUUAAAAGCUUAUAAUGUUGGGUUAGGGUUCAGGUAGGAUAUAUGAUUAAUAGUGGCUUGAACACCCUGAACACCUUGAUCAUUCUUACGACCAUCGAAUUAUUCUCACUCAUUUCUCAUCAAGACAGCCCACAACAACCAUAUCAACAUGCCAUUCUACAUUUCUUUUUUUUUUCUUUUUUUGUUUUUUGUUUUUUUUUUUACAUACUAAACACAACAACCAUAAACAUGAUAGUACCAAAAGGAUAACCUCUCCACCCCAAAACAUAGAAAUGAACAUUGUCCCCAAUGUUGGAAUGAAAAGAUAUGAUAAGGAAAAAUCUCAAAUAAAACUACCCCAACAGGACAUACACCUCAAACCCUUUCAUAUGCAACUCACAUAAUCG
rnacentral:lncRNA from 1 species